rnacentral:rRNA from 1 species
AUACGUAGGUGGCAAGCGUUGUCCGGAUUUACUGGGUGUAAAGGGCGUGUAGGCGGAGAUGCAAGUCAGGAGUGAAAUCUAGGGGCUCAACCCCUAAACUGCUUUUGAAACUGUAUCCCUUGAGUAUCGGAGAGGCAGGCGGAAUUCCUAGUGUAGCGGUGAAAUGCGUAGAUAUUAGUAGGAACACCAGUGGCGAAGGCGGCCUGCUGGACGACAACUGACGCUGAGGCGCGAAAGCGUGGGGAGCAAACAGUAUUAGAUACCCUGGUAGUCCACGCUGUAAACGAUGAAUACUAGGUGUGGGGGGACUGACCCCCUCCGUGCCGCAGUUAACACAAUAAGUAUUCCACCUGGGGAGUACUAUCGCAUGAUUGAAACUCAAAUGAAUUGCCGGGG